CUUGAUACUCCCCGCCUUGUCUCCCCUAGCUUCAGUGCCGUCAGUGCUCUCCCUUCGUCCGCGUGCCGAGUGUGCUGCUGAGCUCUCUGCUGCGACGCGCUGUGUUCUGUUUCCCCCUGCCUGUGUGUUCGUUAGGAGACCUCUACUGCGCGGCGGUGCGAGUGAGUUUUUCCAGUUCGCUCUCGCUGGAGUUGAGAUGUUAUGCACAGCGUUGUAAGAAGAUGUGCACUAUGGAAUUUCAGGACAUUCAGAGUAGUGUGAGCGAUUUAUCAGUUGUGCUAAACCGACGUUCAGUGGAUAUAUUGUGUCACGACGCACCGAAACCAGCUCGCUGAAUGUUGUCUUCCGUGGGUCCUCACACGAGAAAUAGAACCUCUCCCUAGUAACGGUCACACUGUGUGAUAGAUUUCGCUUUGAAGCAUCUCGAUUCUCGAUCACAGGAAAGAGAGGUUUGCCUGGUCGUGGUCCGUUCCUGUGUUGCGUGACAUUUCCUGAAGAUAUCGACGUUUUCGCCUUCCCGAUUCGCAACAAGACUGCCCGAAACGUUGGAGCUUCGUAUGUUCAAUGACAACAAACAAGAAAACGCACCGCUUGUGAAUCUGUUGUGUGUUUUUCAAACAGGAUUGUUUUUGCUCCGUGACAGUGUGUAGAUCUAGAUUCUAGAUCUAGUAGGUUCUGUGUUCCAGCCUCUUCUCGGGGUCAGUGUGCUCUUCUGUGUGUGUGUGUGUGUGUGUAUGUGUGUAUGUGUGUGGCACACGUCUGAAUCUUAUCCUUCUGUGUGGGCGGGGCCUGUCCGGCCUUUUGUUUAUAAACGGCUUGUUUACGCUUCCAACGGGGAGAGCGAGAGAUUUAUUAGCUGACCCGAAACUACCUCUUUACGAGACAAGCUGCUGGGAAUUCUCGACUCCAAAUAUUUCGCAGGUUGUUUUGCUUGAACCUCCUCUGAUGGCAAGUGUCGUGGUCGCUAUGGCAACGAAUUCGAUCGCUUCUACGUGAAUAUCAAAGAGAACGGAAAAGGCCGACGAUAGUAUCGGCUUCUCUCAUCACCCAGCAACAGCACAACUGCCUCCCUAGCUGUCGGGAACAGGCCAAAGAUAUUUCCGUACGUGUGUGGAUAAGAAUAACCGGAGUCGAUUUGUUUACUGUUAUCCAAUUGGGUGCUCGCUUCUACUGGGAUAGCCGUGCGCAUGUAACGCGUUUCUCAGCUGGAGGCAGACAACACUUUGUAAUUUUUACUUUGUGUUUUUAAGAGUCACUUACAACUGUUUGUUCUUUAGUUUGGCUUUCGAACGGCCUGGCAACAGUCAUCUAGCUCUCGGCAUUGGAGCUGAACAGGACAGCUGACUCAUUCUUGUUUUGUAGAUUGUGGUGAACAGAAAAUUAUCACACACUGUAAAACUCACAGGGAAUCUUUGGAGGCGAGUCAAGAAAAGCUGCGAAGGUAUUCUGUCUUUUGUGGAUAGGAACAGUACACACACAACUUGAGGUGAAGCCCGAAAAGAGACAAGAGGCUAAGCGUGAGCGCGCGCGCGUGAGUGUGUGUACGUAGCAGGCUACUGCGGUGCUCGCUCGCCUGUGUGACCGGCUCUGAUUGAUCCCCUUGAGCGCGGGGCACGUGUAUUGGUCAGCUGGUCAGGUAUACUGUUGUUCUUCCAGGGCUACCCCGGGUAGUUGCAUUCACCGCCGCUCACCUCUAGUGCGCUGGCAGGAGCCUGUUGCUUAUCUCUUUUCAAGACGCGAAUGAGAAUACCACGUCUGAGAAAUACAAAGAAAACUUUUUAGAAAGGUAUCUCUGAAAGAAAUUAUAAAGAAAGUACUUUUUGUAAUCGACAGAGAUUACCGUUUCUGUAUAAAAAAGAGAGAAAACUAUCUUUCAGA
rnacentral:lncRNA from 1 species